rnacentral:lncRNA from 1 species
CGAUAAGCAAAUCACAUUGCACAGUACUGUCAUGACUAAUCAGUCUCAAAUCAAGUAUUGCCGGAUAGCCGACCAUACUCCUUCAAGGUGACAAACUUUUUGGCUGGAGCUGUACAUUAGCCAUUGGUCUAUAAUCAGAACUCCUUGAGUCUGCUGUAGUAUUCCCCAUUAAAUAGAAAAUAUGAAUCAUAAUAUAUUAAAUGAACAAAAUCCUGAAGAUCUUAGUGAAAAGCCCAAAAAACUGGUGCUUUUAGACAAAGUUACAUACGACUCGUUUCUGGAGGGAUAUAUUGAGCAGACAAGCCUGAGACAAGUGAUGACAAACCCCACUAAGAAGCUAGCGGCUAUAGUAGAUAAAAUAACCAAACAUAACCAUUUUCCAUCAAUUUUGAUGCAGCAGAAAGUAAGUGCACCAGCAUGUCCAAGAUUGUUCGCAUAUUAGAAAACAAAGAAGCCCUGGACGGCGGAUAGGUGGGUAAACAAC